rnacentral:rRNA from 1 species
CACGUAGGGCGCAAGCGUUGUCCGGAAUUAUUGGGCGUAAAGGGUUCGUAGGUGGCCUACUAAGUCAGACGUGAAAUCCCUCAGCUCAACUGGGGAACUGCGUCUGAGACUGGAAGGCUUGAGUGCAGGAGAGGAACGCGGAAUUCCAGGUGUAGCGGUGAAAUGCGUAGAUAUCUGGAGGAACACCGGUGGCGAAGGCGGCGUCCUGGACCAACACUGACACUGAGGAGCGAAAGCCAGGGGAGCAAACGGG